CCUACGGGAGGCAGCAGUAGGGAAUAUUGGACAAUGGACGCAAGUCUGAUCCAGCCAUCCCGCGUGAAGGAUUAAGGCCCUAUGGGUUGUAAACUUCUUUUCUUUGGGAAUAAAAAGCGGUAUUCAUAUCGCCUUGAAGGUACCAGAGGAAUAAGCACCGGCUAACUCCGUGCCAGCAGCCGCGGUAAUACGGAGGGUGCAAGCGUUAUCCGGAUUCACUGGGUUUAAAGGGUGCGUAGGUGGCUUUGUAAGUCAGCGGUGAAAGCCUGGAGCUCAACUCCAGAAUUGCCAUUGAUACUGCAGAGCUUGAAUCAAGUUGAGGUGGAUGGAAUAUUACAUGUAGCGGUGAAAUGCUUAGAUAUGUAAUAGAACACCGAUUGCGAAGGCAGUUCACUAAGCUUGUAUUGACACUGAGGCACGAAAGCGUGGGGAUCAAACAGGAUUAGAUACCCUGGUAGUCCACGCCCUAAACGAUGCAAACUCGACAUUAGCGAUAUACAGUUAGUGUCCAAGCGAAAGCGUUAAGUUUGCCACCUGGGAAGUACGACCGCAAGGUUGAAACUCAAAUGAAAUUGACGG
rnacentral:rRNA from 1 species